UACGUGGGGUUAAGAGUACAAUAAAACAUUGCCAGCUCUGGUUGGCUCAGCAGCUUGUGUGCAUUACACCAAGCCCAGAACCAUCAAGCACGCUAUCAGGGAAGCGAAGGGAGAAUGAGAAAAUACACGGUUUGGGAGCUCCCCGUGCCCAUACCAUGGCAUAACCCCUUGCAAUACUGCAGUGGGCUUACCUGCUCCAGGCUGGAAAGGGCUAAAAAGAGCAUCUGUGCCAAGGAUUAGGAAAGGUUUUCUGAAGCCAAGAGUUACUCCACCUUUUCAAUUUAUUUGUAAGUAGAGCUGCAGCUUAGUUGCACCGCCAUAGGAUGAACCUCUGGUAUACAGUACCGCUUCUUCAAAAACAAUGUUCAUGAACAUGGACAGAAGACAUGAAGAGUCUGCAUGGUGUCGUGCAAGUCUGCAAAGAAUGGGAUAGGACUGCAUUUGGCCAUCAUGCCCAGGAACAUAACAUAUCAACCAACUCCAUCCACCACCAGAAAACCAACAAAUCCUCCCAACGACUGGCUACACAAUGUGACAAACCCAUUUACUUAUACAGACUUCUAAGGUACCACAGACCAAGCACACCAGUCUUCAUGGCCAGGCAUGCUAUGUUCCAAGUUCCACUCUUACCAUUUACAAUCUUGUCAGCUUUGAGGGCUGAUAUUUGCUGCAUUUUAGUCUGCGUAUUACAAUGGGGUGCUAGAAAAGCAACACAACCUGCUUCUGCAUGUGAAGAACAAAGGACAGAGUAUUUCUUAGUCCAUUUCCUCUACAUC